CAUUGUGAUUCGAAUACAACAAAUUUAAUAAUUAAAUUAUUUAGUUUCCAAAGUUUAGAUCAAACCGUUCUAACAGAAUAUUAAAUAUUAUGCAAACGAACAUAACGCUUGGUGAAUCUAAACACCCUUGCUGACAAGCGUGGUUUACGCUGUAAUGUUCUAACUCCAAAACAAGUUUAACCGCAAAAAUGCGCAGUUCGUGUGGAAAUUACUAUACAAUGUAUCAUGAUUUAAUUUAGAUACAUGAACAAUUUAAGUGAGGCAGAUGGUUUUCUGUCAAAAGAUAACAGUAUGGGAUGGGUUGAAUUUCACGAGUACCAGAUCUAAAUCUUAAAACAUUAUCAAUGUAUUAUAGACGGUUUCUUCACUAAAUAAGGUCCCCAUGCAUGAGGAAUAUAACACAUAUCGUUCUAAACAUUUGUAGAACAAUGAAUUAUCAGUUUACUUCUAUGGCGAGUUUGUCAUACUAAGGUAAAGGAGAGGAAUCAUAUAGAUCUAUCAUGUUUAUUAAAAAGGUACUGCUGGUUCGUCCUCGAGGGUAUCACCAGCCCAGUAGUCAGCACUUCGGUGUUGACAUGAAUAUCAAUUAUAUGCUCAUAUUUAUAAAUUUCCUAUUACAAAAAUUUUCACAAAACUAAGGAGUUUUUUUUUUUAUCCCAGGAAUAAAUUACCUUAGCUGUAUUUGGUAAAACUUUUAGGAAUUUUGGUCUUUAAUGCUCUUAAACUUCGUAAUUUAUUUUGCCUUUUAAACUUUUUAGGAUUCGAGCGUCACUGAUGAGUCUUUUGUAGACGAAACACGCGUCUAUAGCGUAAAUACAAAAUUGAAAUCCUGGUAUCUAUGAUGAGUUUAUCUAUCAUUUCUAAAAGGUUAAACUUGUAAAUGUUGGAAGUGUUUCGGAUUUUGAUUUUGCCAUUUGAUUAGGGGUUUUGCGUUUUGAAUUUUCCUCGGAGUUCAGUUGUUGUAAUUUUACUUUUGUAAAUAAUUGAUUAAAAUGAUUGUUUGAGGAAAUAAAGUUUAGAUACUGACAUACAUUGUAUUUGGUAUAUUAAAAGAGGAGGAACCAUCGGGUUACUUUAUCAUGUCUAAUAACAAGACGCCAAUCUGUUAGACCAACUGUAAACCAACUAAUAUUUGUGAUUUACUUACGCGAAUAGAAAAAUAUCGCGAAUAUGUAAAACUUUGAUUUUUCCUUACUAAACUACACCAAUUAAAUUUGAGAAUCGUGAAAUUUAAUCGCCUCGAAAUGAGCUAGAAAGGGCUAAACUCGAAAUAA
rnacentral:lncRNA from 1 species